rnacentral:lncRNA from 1 species
GUCCUCCAUUGAUGCAUGAGGAAGAAGCAAUGGAGCUACAGGGUGGAGUCUCAUUGUCUCCUUCACGACAAGGUAUAAAUACUCGAGGCUGUCAAUAUCUGAUUCUUCCACCAUUCGGUUCAUGCCCACCACGUUUUCCAACUCCUUUUGGACUUUGUUAAGUGUUCUUGGAUGCUUCAUGAGUUCUGAUAAUGUCCAUUCAAUUGCAGUUGAUGAGGUGUCCGUUGCUCCUGCAAGCAUGUCCUGAACGUACACCCAUCCAUUAGAGACCCUGGAACAGAUAUAAACAAGCUAUACAUCCCAAACUAUAAAACUUUACUUUAGUCUAGUAUUUAUUUAUAUUAUGUUUAACUUAAGUUACGC